rnacentral:rRNA from 1 species
AUUGAACGCUGGCGGCAGGCCUAACACAUGCAAGUCGAGCGGGGUUUUCGGACCUAGCGGCGGACGGGUGAGUAAUGCGUAGGAAGCUACCCGAUAGAGGGGGAUACCAGUUGGAAACGACUGUUAAUGCCGCAUAAUGUCUACGGACCAAAGUGUGGGACCUUCGGGCCACAUGCUAUCGGAUGUGCCUACGUGGGAUUAGCUGGUUGGUGAGGUAAUGGCUCACCAAGGCGACGAUCCCUAGCUGGGUUGAGAGGAAGAUCAGCCACACUGGAACUGAGACACGGUCCAGACUCCUACGGGAGGCAGCAGUGGGGAAUAUUGGACAAUGGGCGCAAGCCUGAUCCAGCCAUGCCGCGUGUGUGAAGAAGGCCUUCGGGUUGUAAAGCACUUUCAGUAAGGAGGAAGCGUUGAGUGUUAAUAGUACUCAGCGUUGACGUUACUUACAGAAGAAGCACCGGCUAACUCUGUGCCAGCCGCCGCUGUAAAAC